AUGGCUCAGGAUGAACGCUGGCGGCGUGCCUAACACAUGCAAGUCGAACGGAGCUUAUGGUGAAAGAUACUUCGGUAGAUGGAAGCGUAAGCUUAGUGGCGGACGGGUGAGUAACGCGUGGAGAACCUGCCCUGUACCGGGGGAUAACAGAGGGAAGCUUCUGCUAAUACCGCAUAAGCGCACGGCACCGCAUGGUGCAGUGUGAAAAAACUCCGGUGGUACAGGAUGGCUCCGCGUUGGAUUAGCUUGUUGGCGGGGCAACGGCCCACCAAGGCGACGAUCCAUAGCCGGCCUGAGAGGGUGAACGGCCACAUUGGGACUGAGACACGGCCCAGACUCCUACGGGAGGCAGCAGUGGGGAAUAUUGCACAAUGGGGGGAACCCUGAUGCAAGCGACGCCGCGUGAAGGAAGAAGUAUCUCGGUAUGUAAACUUCUAUCAGCAGGGAAGACAAUGACGGUACCUGCAUAAGAAGCCCCGGCUAACUACGUGCCAGCAGCCGC
rnacentral:rRNA from 1 species